rnacentral:rRNA from 1 species
GGCUCAGGAUGAACGCUGGCGGCGUGCCUAAUACAUGCAAGUCGAGCGAACGGACGAGAAGCUUGCUUCUCUGAUGUUAGCGGCGGACGGGUGAGUAACACGUGGAUAACCUACCUAUAAGACUGGGAUAACUUCGGGAAACCGGAGCUAAUACCGGAUAAUAUUUUGAACCGCAUGGUUCAAAAGUGAAAGACGGUCUUGCUGUCACUUAUAGAUGGAUCCGCGCUGCAUUAGCUAGUUGGUAAGGUAACGGCUUACCAAGGCAACGAUGCAUAGCCGACCUGAGAGGGUGAUCGGCCACACUGGAACUGAGACACGGUCCAGACUCCUACGGGAGGCAGCAGUAGGGAAUCUUCCGCAAUGGGCGAAAGCCUGACGGAGCAACGCCGCGUGAGUGAUGAAGGUCUUCGGAUCGUAAAACUCUGUUAUUAGGGAAGAACAUAUGUGUAAGUAACUGUGCACAUCUUGACGGUACCUAAUCAGAAAGCCACGGCUAACUACGUGCCAGCAGCCGCGGUAAUACGUAGGUGGCAAGCGUUAUCCG